rnacentral:misc_RNA from 1 species
GGAAGUAAAAGUUGUAACAAGGUUUCCGUAGGUGAACCUGCGGAAGGAUCAUUAUUGUGUAACCGAGGUGCGAGGGCUGUCGCUGACCCGAAAGGUCGUGCACGCCCGAGUGCCCUCACACACAUCCAUCUCACCCCUAUGUGCACCACCGCGUGGGUCCCCCUUUGGCUUGUUCGGAGGGGGGCUUACGUUUUCACACAAACUUUGUAUGCAGUGUAGAAUGUAUUUUUUGUUUUUGCGAUCACGCAAUCAAUACAACUUUCAACAACGGAUCUCUUGGCUCUC